rnacentral:rRNA from 1 species
UACGUUCCCGGGCCUUGCACACACCGCCCGUCACACCACGAAAGUCGGCAACACCCGAAGCCGGUGGCCUAACCGUAAGGAAGGAGCCGUCGAAGGUGGGGUCGGUGAUUGGGGUG